rnacentral:rRNA from 1 species
AAUAGAUACCCGGGUAGUCCACGCCGUAAACGAUGGAUACUAGCUGUUGGGGGCGACCUCAGUGGCUAAGCGAAAGUGAUAAGUAUCCCACCUGGGGAGUACGUUCGCAAGAAUGAAACUCAAAGGAAUUGACGGGGGCCCGCACAAGCGGUAGAGCAUGUGGUUUAAUUCGAUGAUACGCGAGGAACCUUACCAAGGCUUAAAUGCAGACUGACCGUUUUGGAAACAGAACUUUCGCAAGACAGUCUACAAGGUGCUGCAUGGUUGUCGUCAGCUCGUGCCGUGAGGUGUCAGGUUAAGUCCUAUAACGAGCGCAACCCCUGUUGUUAGUUGCCAGCGAGUAGUGUCGGGAACUCUAACAAGACUGCCAGUGCAAACUGUGAGGAAAGUGGGGAUGACGUCAAAUCAUCACGGCCCUUACGCCUUGGGCUACACGCGUGCUACAAUGGCCGGUACAGAGAGCAGCCACCUCGCGAGGGGGAGCGAAUCUACAAAGCCGGUCACAGUUCGGAUCGGAGU